rnacentral:rRNA from 1 species
GUCCCUAUCUGCCGUGGGCGUAAGAAGAUUGAAGAGAUUUGACCCUAGUACGAGAGGACCGGGUUGAACAAACCACUGGUGUAGCUGUUGUUCUGCCAAGAGCAUCGCAGCGUAGCUAAGUUUGGAAAGGAUAAACGCUGAAAGCAUCUAAGCGUGAAGCCAACUCUAAGAUGAAUCUUCUCUAAGCUCUCUAGAAGACUACUAGUUUGAUAGGCUGGGUGUGUAAUGGAUGAAAGUCCUUUAGCUGACCAGUACUAAUAGAGCGUUUGGCUUAUCUUUAAUAAAGCAU